rnacentral:rRNA from 1 species
UGCAGUCGAGCGGAACGAGUUAUCUGAACCUUCGGGGGACGAUAACGGCGUCGAGCGGCGGACGGGUGAGUAAUGCCUAGGAAAUUGCCCUGAUGUGGGGGAUAACCAUUGGAAACGAUGGCUAAUACCGCAUGAUGCCUACGGGCCAAAGAGGGGGACCUUCGGGCCUCUCGCGUCAGGAUAUGCCUAGGUGGGAUUAGCUAGUUGGUGAGGUAAGGGCUCACCAAGGCGACGAUCCCUAGCUGGUCUGAGAGGAUGAUCAGCCACACUGGAACUGAGACACGGUCCAGACUCCUACGGGAGGCAGCAGUGGGGAAUAUUGCACAAUGGGCGCAAGCCUGAUGCAGCCAUGCCGCGUGUGUGAAGAAGGCCUUCGGGUUGUAAAGUACUUUCAGCAGUGAGGAAGGUGGGUGUGUUAAUAGCACAUUCAUUUGACGUUAGCUGCAGAAGAAGCACCGGCUAACUCCGUGCCAGCAGCCGCGGUAAUACGGAGGGUGCGAGCGUUAAUCGGAAUUACUGGGCGUAAAGCGCAUGCAGGUGGUUUGUUAAGUCAGAUGUGAAAGCCCGGGGCUCAACCUCGGAAUAGCAUUUGAAACUGGCAGACUAGAGUACUGUAGAGGGGGGUAGAAUUUCAGGUGUAGCGGUGAAAUGCGUAGAGAUCUGAAGGAAUACCGGUGGCGAAGGCGGCCCCCUGGACAGAUACUGACACUCAGAUGCGAAAGCGUGGGGAGCAAACAGGAUUAGAUACCCUGGUAGUCCACGCCGUAAACGAUGUCUACUUGGAGGUUGUGGCCUUGAGCCGUGGCUUUCGGAGCUAACGCGUUAAGUAGACCGCCUGGGGAGUACGGUCGCAAGAUUAAAACUCAAAUGAAUUGACGGGGGCCCGCACAAGCGGUGGAGCAUGUGGUUUAAUUCGAUGCAACGCGAAGAACCUUACCUACUCUUGACAUCCAGAGAACUUUCCAGAGAUGGAUUGGUGCCUUCGGGAACUCUGAGACAGGUGCUGCAUGGCUGUCGUCAGCUCGUGUUGUGAAAUGUUGGGUUAAGUCCCGCAACGAGCGCAACCCUUAUCCUUGUUUGCCAGCGAGUAAUGUCGGGAACUCCAGGGAAACUGCCGGUGAUAAACCGGAAGAAGG